rfam:Triticum aestivum genome assembly, contig: Triticum_aestivum_CS42_TGACv1_scaffold_329254_4BS
GAUAUACUCCCUCCGUCCCAAAAUUCUUGUCUUGUCUAGAUACGGAUGUAUCUAAUACUAAAACAUGACUUGAUACAUCCGUAUUUAGACAAAUCUAAGACAAGAAUUUUGGGACGGAGGGAGUAUGAU